GUCUACGGCCAUACCACGUUGAAAGCACCGGUUCUCGUCCGAUCACCGAAGUUAAGCAACGUCGGGCCCGGUUAGUACUUGGAUGGGUGACC
rnacentral:rRNA from 1 species